AAUGAACGCUGGCGGCAGGCUUAACACAUGCAAGUCGAGCGCAUCCUUCGGGGUGAGCGGCGGACGGGUGAGUAACGCGUGGGAACGUGCCCUCUUCUACGGAAUAGCCUCGGGAAACUGAGAGUAAUGCCGUAUACGCCCGCAAGGGGAAAGAUUUAUCGGAGGAGGAUCGGCCCGCGUUGGAUUAGGUAGUUGGUGGGGUAACGGCCUACCAAGCCGACGAUCCAUAGCUGGUUUGAGAGGAUGAUCAGCCACACUGGGACUGAGACACGGCCCAGACUCCUACGGGAAGCAGCAGUGGGGAAUCUUGGACAAUGGGGGCAACCCUGAUCCAGCCAUGCCGCGUGAUCGAUGAAGGCCUUAGGGUUGUAAAGAUCUUUCAGCUGGGAAGAUAAUGACGGUACCAGCAGAAGAAGCCCCGGCUAACUCCGUG
rnacentral:rRNA from 1 species